GAUUCUGGCUCAGGAUGAACGCUGGCGGCGCACAUAAGACAUGCAAGUCGAACGAACUUAAUCGAAAGUUACUUUUGAAGCGGUUAGUGGCGGACUGGUGAGUAACACGUAAGCAACCUGCCUAUCAGAGGGGGAAUAACAGUGAGAAAUCAUUGCUAAUACCGCAUAUGCUCACAGUACCACAUGGUACAGUGAGGAAAGGAGCAAUCCGCUGAUAGAUGGGCUUGCGUCUGAUUAGAUAGUUGGUGGGGUAACGGCCUACCAAGUCGACGAUCAGUAGCCGGACUGAGAGGUUGAACGGCCACAUUGGGACUGGGAUACGGCCCAGACUCCUACGGGAGGCAGCAGUCGGGAAUAUUGCGCAAUGGAGGAAACUCUGACGCAGUGACGCCGCGUGCAGGAAGAAGGUUUUCGGAUUGUAAACUGCUUUAGUUAAGGAAGAUACAAGACAGUACUUAAAAAUAAGCACCGGCUAACUAUGUGCCAGCAGCCGC
rnacentral:rRNA from 1 species